rnacentral:rRNA from 1 species
GAUGAACGCUGGCGGCAGGCCUAAUACAUGCAAGUCGAACGCGUGGCGGACGGGUGAAUCAUGUCGGGAAAACUGCCCGAUGGAGGGGGAUAACUACGGGAAACGGUAGCAAAUCCCGCAUACCAUCGGAUGUGGCCAGGUGGGAUUAGCUAGUAGGUGGGGUAACGGAUGACCAAGGCGACGAUCCCUAGCUGGUCUGAGAGGAUGACCAGCCACACUGGAACUGAGACACGGUCCAGACUCCUACGGGAUGCAGCAGUGGGUAAUAUUGCACAAUGGGCGCAAGUCUGAUGCAGCCACGCCGCGUGUAUGAAGAAGGUUUUCGGGUUGUAAAGUUCUUUUAGUGAGGAGGCGUUACUCGCAGAAGAAGCCCCGGCUAACUACGUGCCAGCAGCCGCGGUAAUAC